rnacentral:rRNA from 1 species
UACGGAGGAUGCGAGCGUUAUCCGGAUUUAUUGGGUUUAAAGGGUGCGUAGGCGGACGCUUAAGUCAGCGGUAAAAUUGCGGGGCUCAACCUCGUCGAGCCGUUGAAACUGGCAGUCUCGAGUUGGAGAGAAGUAUGCGGAAUGCGCGGUGUAGCGGUGAAAUGCAUAGAUAUCGCGCAGAACUCCGAUUGCGAAGGCAGCAUACCGGCGCCCAACUGACGCUCAGGCACGAAAGCGUGGGUAUCGAACAGG